UUAGCGGGAGCCGGGAAUGGAAAGCCCGGUACAAGCGAGGUACCAGUAUGGUAGGAAAAUCCGCCAUGCAAUGGGAAGACGUGAUGUGGAGUGAAUUUUAGUAACGAAGCCCGUGAGCCAUGCGUCAAGAAAAGCCGCUAUCGUUCAUAUUGUACCCGUACCGUAAACCGACACAGGUGGAUGAGGAGAGAAACCUAAGGCCGGCGGAAGAAGUAUUGCCAAGGAACUCGGCAAAAUGGCCCCGUAACUUAGGGAGAAGGGGUGCCUGCGAGAGCAGGCCGCAGAGAAUAGGCUCAAGCAACUGUUUAGCAAAAACACAGGUCUAUGCGAAACCGAAAGGUGAGGUAUAUGGGCUGACGCCUGCCCGGUGCUGGAAGGUUAAGAGGAGAGGUUAGACGUAAGUCGAAGCUUUGAAUUUAAGCCCCAGUAAACGGCGGCCGUAACGAUAACGGUCCUAAGGUAGCGAAAUUCCUUGUCGGGUAAGUUCCGACCCGCACGAAAGGCGUAAUGAUUUGAGCGCUGUCUCGGCAAUACAUCCGGUGAAAUUGAAGUGCCAGUGAAGAUGCUGGCUACCCGCGCCAGGACGGAAAGACCCCAUGGAGCUUUACUCCAGUUUGGCACUGGGGUCCGGUGUUGCAUGUACAGGAUAGGUGGGAGGCUGAGAAACGGUAGCGUCAGUUGCCGCGGAGCCGCUGUUGGGAUACCACCCUUGUGAUAUUGGGCUUCUAACCAGCCGCCGUAAUCCGGCGGUGGGACAAUGCCAGGCGGGGAGUUUGACUGGGGCGGUCGCCUCCGAAAGGGUAUCGGAGGCGCCCAAAGGUUCCCUCAGAAUGGACGGAAACCAUUCGAAGAGUGCAAAGGCAGAAGGGAGCUUGACUGCGACACCGACGGGUGGAGCAGGUACGAAAGUAGGGCUUAGUGAUCCGGUGGUAUUAAGUGGGAAUGCCAUCGCUCAACGGAUAAAAGCUACCCUGGGAUAACAGGCUUAUCACUCCCAAGAGUUCACAUCGACGGAGUGGUUUGGCACCUCGAUGUCGGCUCAUCGCAUCCUGGGGCUGUAGUAAGUCCCAAGGGUUGGGCUGUUCGCCCAUUAAAGCGGUACGCGAGCUGGGUUCAGAACGUCGUGAGACAGUUCGGUCCCUAUCCGGCGUGGGCGUAGGAUAUCUGAGAGGAGCUGUCCUUAGUACGAGAGGACCGGGAUGGACGGACCGCUGGUGGACCGGUUGGCUUGCCAAAGCCAUGGCCGGGUAGCCAAGUCCGGAAGGGAUAAACGCUGAAGGCAUCUAAGCGUGAAGCCCCCCUCAAGAUGAGAUAUCCCAUUCUUUAAGAAGUAAACCCCCUUGAAGACGACGAGGUAGAUAGGGCAGAGGUGGAAGUGUGGUAACACAUGGAGCUGACUGUUACUAAUCGGGUGAGGGCUUGACC
rnacentral:rRNA from 1 species